GGGACUUACAAUACAGGACAUUACAAAGGCAUGUCGUGUGCUAUUUGCAGUAACUCCUGUCUGUACUUUUGAGGCACAAUUAACUUUUUUAUGGGGAUAGACCCGGCUACUACCUUCUCUGCAUACCGGUAUAAUAACCCUGUAAAGGAUCCUUCUAUUCGUGCAGCGAUGAUCCUUGCAGCUUCUCCCGAAAUCCAGCUGAAACGAAGUGAUUAUAACUCCCAAUCCC